AAUAAGUGCAGUCAUGGUUUUCAGCAUCCAACUUUGACCGUUCGUCUUAUUUAAAAUUUUUUUGAAAGAAAUUAAAAAUAUAAGUCACGAGUAAAGUAUUAUUCAUGUUUUAUUAUAAAAAAUUUCAAAUAAAACGGACGAUCAAAGUUGGGCGUGGAAACUCAUGGCUGCAUUUAUU
rnacentral:pre_miRNA from 1 species